rnacentral:miRNA from 1 species
CUAGACAGAUGGGCUUCG